AGACAUCCUAGCAGCUGCUGAAGCAAUUUGUUUUGAGGAUCCUCCCUGUUUCUCCCCUGCUCGGCACUGGCUGCCAACAUACUUCCCCUUGGAGGAGUGGAAACCUGAAUCUGGACGAACUGAGGCGCUCCAAGACCCACGUUCCUGCUGGCGUAGUGGAACAGGGAGCGCAGAUCACUGAAGCGGAAGGCCACGCCCUUCAUAAUGCUCUGGGCCGUGUCCCCCGUGAGGAACAUGGCGUUGGGGUCGUUGAUGCAUUUCAUCAGCAGCGCCAGCUCGGCUUGGGUGAAGUCCUGGAUCUCAUCACCAUAGAGCUCGUGGAUGGACCACGGGAGCACCUUGAGCUUCGACAGCCUCCGGGACAG